UUCAUGAGUUCUGUCAGCAACUAGAUGAUGAAAUGUACAGAACUCUCCUAUGCGAGGUAGAAGCAAUUUUGAAUUCAAGGCCUCUUACUCCAGUUUCUAGUGAUCCUGAUGAUCUUAAUCCACUCACUCCAAAUCACCUUCUUAUGAUGAAAUCAAAUGUUUUCAUUCCCCCACCUGGUGAAUUUCAACUUGAUGAUAUUUAUGCUCGUCAACGUUGGAGACACAUUCAACAUUUAGCAAAUGUAUUUUGGUCACGUUGGAAAAAAGAAUAUCUUGUCUUGCUACAACAGCGUCAAAAAUGGAACACUCCAAAGCGCAAUUUCCAAUUGAACGAUAUUGUGCUCUUGAAAGAUGAUGCACUUCCCCGAAGUGCUUGGUCGAUGUGUCGUGUUACUGGAAUUGAGGCUGAUAAAAGUGGAUAUGUCAGGAGUGUCAUCCUGAAAACAAAAGACUCUGAGCUGCGAAGACCAGUUCACAAACUUGUUUUACUUCUUCCUUCAAACAUGUGAUUGAAAUGUUUGUUUUGUCGGUCUGAUUGUUUUCUUGCAUUCCUUGUAGUUUGGGUUGUUAAACACACCGUGAGUAUGUUUAAGGGGCCGAAUGUGUAAAUGCAAGAAUUCUUUACAUACAUUUCAAUGUACAAAUUCUUUCAAAUGAAAUUGUUUACUAAGUUGUGACAAUUGGUUUUAAGUAUUUUAUCCAUGGUGGUCCAAUAAUUAAAACACUUAAUUAAAAUCUAAAGUUCAUUUCCAUUUAAAUCCUUAUCAGUCAAAAGUGUAAACAAUGUGGCCCAGUAAAUUUCCAUUACCCUGUGGCCUUAACCUUCAUGUGUGAUGUCAAAGCUCACAGGUCACAUCAUGACCUCUCCAAAGCUCAUGCAUUUUGGAGCACAUGCUUGCCAGUGUGUAUUGGACCUCCAUGCUGCCUGGUUGUCACCCAGCUGACUGUAAGCUGAACUAUGUAAAGACACAUAUUUUUCUGAACCUCAUCAGCUCAUCAGCAACUUUACUCUUCAAGUGAACGCAAUAAUAUUCAUCAAAUCCUCAGCAGCAGCCACUUAUUAUGAACUGUAAUUUCUCAAAUAUUAAUACAUUAAACCCUGUUGAUGCGA